rnacentral:rRNA from 1 species
CCCCUAGAUGUUCUGGGCCGCACGCGCGCUACACUGAACAGUUCAACAAGUCUUAACCUUGGCCGAUAGGUCUGGGUAAUCUUUGAACGCUGUUCGUGAUUGGGAUAGACCUUUGCAAUUAUGGGUCUUCAACGAGGAAUUCCUAGUAAACGCAAGUCAUCAGCUUGCAUUGAUUACGUCCCUGCCCUUUGUACACACCGCCCGUCGCACCUACCGAUUGAAUGGUCCGGUGAAAUCUCGGGACGGCGGCUCGGUCGCUUGCGUCCGACUGCUGAAACUUGAUUAAACCAUAUCAUUUAGAGGAAGGUGAAGUCGUAANA